rnacentral:lncRNA from 1 species
CGUCAUACUAUUUGUUUCUGUAAUGUUUGUGCAGGGAGAGACUGCUAUGUAUGCUAACUACAACUCCAAUCUGAGGUAUGCUAACUACAACUCCAAUCCGAGGUAAUGCAGGGAGAGACUUGCUGCUACUACUAUGGUUUGCCGGUAAUUAGGAGUAUUUGUAUUAUUCAGUGCUAGAAUGUAAGUAGGAGUAUUUGUAUUAUUCAGUACUAGCAAAAGGGCCCGUGCGUUGCAACGGGAGAAAAAAAUACCACACGCUUUUAAUCUUUUUAUAAUCAUUUUGAUUUAUUAAAAUAAGGGGACUAAUGUAGUGAGUCCUAUCCUAUUUUGUUGAGAAAUCAACCCGUUCAUUGUUAAUUCCACCAUGAUGAGAAAUUGAGCGGGACAAACAAAGCAAAACAAAGAGGCUACGUGAAUUGAUCAAUGGACUGUUAUCUUAUUUCACUCAUGGGGUAGAGAAUGUGGGAUCAGAUGACAAACGGAAGGUGGUGUUCCAUUCUCUCUCUCUCUACAAACAACACAAUCUUACAUUCAAUACAUUCAUUCAUCAGCAAACAAAUCCCCACAAAACAAAAUUUCUUGUCGGUGCUUGGCACACGGUUGGAGGCAUGGGGAGGGGAUCUCACCAGAUGAUGAGUUCCUGUCGAAGGAGGGGAUACGAUGAGGGGAGCAAGGUUUAGGCGCCUCUAUCUGGCCAUAAGGAGUCGCCGUUGCCGCGCCAUAACCUCGAAGUUCCCUGUGUGAGCCAUGUAGGCCCGCCUCCACCUGCAAGUACUUCGCUCCACCGCGCCUUAUCCGUGCGCCGCCGCUUUUCUGCAUCUUGCACACGCAUCAUCCCCAGUCACUGUAGCUGUCACGUUGAUUUGAUCCAGAAGCUGUGCUCGAGCGCCGAAACGGGGGCAGCAAGCGGGCAGAGGUACGACCGCGGAGGCGGGUGGGUUGAGAUCGACAAUACUAGUGGUUGAGGUCGGCCGUGGCGGGGCGAGUGGUGUGGCAGCGGCCUGGGCACAUGCCAGGGUGGACCAGGGUCGACGCGAUGCGCUCGAGCGCCGCAACGGGGGCAGUGAGCGGGGAGAGGUACGGCCGCGGAGGCGGGUGGGUUGAGAUCGGCAGCGGUGUCGGUUGAGGUCGACUGCGGCGGCGAGUGGUGUGGCGGCGGCCUAGGCACAGGCCAGGGUGGCCCAGGAUCAACGGGAGGAGGCGAUGCGAACAGGUAUAAUUUUUGCAGCGAAACCUUUUUUCCUUUUGCGUUGCAGAUAAAUGAUGGAGCGCGGGUUGGAUAACAAAAAUUACAGGGGCUUUUUUAUAAAAAUAUCACGGUGGGUUUUCCGACGGAAGCAAUAGCCGCUUUAUUAUUAGGUAUAGACUAGUAUCCAGUGUGAAGAAAUUCUACUCAGUGUUUGUCUACUACUAUGGUUUGCUGGUAAUUAAAGAUCUAUCUAGGUACUUUCUGCGUGGGUCAUGCAUGCUCUGUACUUUCUUUGUUAGUAUUACCAAAUCCAUUAUUCAUAAUAGCCCCCUCGUAGGCAACUUAUGCCUUUUUUGUAUUACUACACACUCAUUUACACAUGUUUGAUGUUUCCAUCCAGUGAACCGAAAGAGCACACAAGAAAAAGCGCUCGCCCAAUCAAACAACACAAGUCUAUAUUGUAGGUUUCUCUCGUGAUGAUGCCAGCGCCUCUACUGCGUCCGCCAAUAUUUCAAUCGCAUGUGUAGGAGGAGAAGGCUUGACGCGCCGUCGGCACUGACUCUAGCGCCCAUGGAUCCGGCUACCUGCUCAUCUGAGGCAAGCACCAAGGCUUCGUAAUUUAAUUUAGUAUGA